UUGUAUGAUGAGGUAAUUUGCGAUUGAUGCUGCACGAUGGCCCUCUUGCCGGAGUGGUUAUAUCGAACAGAUACAUGAUAUUCAUUUCUUACAUAUUCUGAAC
rnacentral:snoRNA from 1 species